rnacentral:lncRNA from 1 species
UUUUAGAAUUGUGCUUUUUUAGAAUUGUGCUUUCUUAGAGGAGAAAUGGUGCAAUAAGAGGAGAAACAGUGCAACUUCUUAAAGGGGUGCAAUUUAAGAUAAAAAACAUUAUAACAGGAGGAGAAAUUGUGCAACAAGAGGAGAAACGGUGCAACAAGAGGAGAAACAGUAUAAAUAUCUCUUAAAGGGGUGCAGUUUAAGAUAAAAAAUAAUAUAACAAGAGAAAAAAUGGUACAACAAGAGGAGAAACAGUGCAACUUUCGUUUAAAGAGUGCAACUUUCAUCUUAAUGGAUACAGUUUACAUCUGAAAUAGUGCAAUAAGAAAAAAAAUAGUGUAAAUAUUUCUAAAAGAGUGUAAUUUUUAUUUAAAGAGUGUAAUUUCCAUCUUAAAGCUGCAGUUUACAUUUUAAGUAGUGCAACUUAUAAUUUUUUUUGCAGUUAACGAUGCAAUUCCAUCUUCAUCCUUCUUUUUAUAUAAUUUUUUAUCUUUAUUUUUUUUUUAUUUUUUCUAUAAUUUUUUUUGUCACCCUCUCUGCUAACAGCCACAGCGCCGGCGACGACGCCGCUAAGGACCCCCGCUCCGAGACUGCAGCGCCGCAGUGACCUCCACGAGGUCGGCGUCGGCGUCAGCGUCGGUGCCGGCGAAAAUGCAUUAUCGUCGGAGGCGACAGAGAAUGAGAGAGAGCGAGAGGCGAGAAGGGCAGGGAAGAGCGAGAGAGGCAUCGUCGUCGGAGACGAUGGAGGAGAGUCGGGGAAGAAAAGAAAAGAAAAAAAUUAAAAAAAAAUCGCGGUGUGGCCUUGGCGGGGUCGAAGGGGAGGAAGGUGGGUGGUGCGUGGGCGAUGGCAAGGGAGAAGGCGAGAGCAUGAGGGUGAGAGGCGAGGCGGACCGUUUCCGCCUCCGCCUCUGCCUUCGUUACUUUUGUAAGGACUGAGAUUUUUACAGUGUAGCUAAACUCUCUGUUGAUGAUGUUUAUGUGUGUAAUUUAAUUACAUAAGCACUCGUCAAGUUUCAGGAGAAACUGAGCUAAAACGGAGAAGUUACGCGAUUAUUAGUUUUCACUUAAAGUGAAUAGUAACUCGAUUUUCCGGAGAAGCCACGGUGAGAAGUUGGCUUCUGGCUCGUACCGGACUCUGUUCAUAGCAGUCCAAUAGCUCGUUUCGAUCGGGUCAGCUGUUCUGGAGCUAAUGGCGCUGACGG